rnacentral:rRNA from 1 species
UAACCUGCCCAAGAGAUCGGGAUAACACCUGGAAACAGAUGCUAAUACCGGAUAACAACAGAUGAUGCCUAUCAACUGUUUAAAAGAUGGUUCUGCUAUCACUCUUGGAUGGACCUGCGGUGCAUUAGCUAGUUUGUAGGGUAACGGCCUACCAAGGCGAUGAUGCAUAGCCGAGUUGAGAGACUGAUCGGCCACAUUGGGACUGAGACACGGCCCAAACUCCUACGGGAGGCAGCAGCC